GUUCCUGUGGUUGAGAGUUACAACGGCGGCUUUUCAGGCCGCAGGUCUUGGAGAAAAGCCAAGCAGGAAUUG
rnacentral:tRNA from 4 species